UUACGGGAGGCAGCAGUGAGGAAUAUUGGACAAUGGGCGCAAGCCUGAUCCAGCCAUGCCGCGUGCAGGAUGACGGUCCUAUGGAUUGUAAACUGCUUUUGCACAGGAAGAAACAACAUUACGUGUAAUGUCUUGACGGUACUGUGAGAAUAAGGAUCGGCUAACUCCGUGCCAGCAGCCGCGGUAAUACGGAGGAUCCAAGCGUUAUCCGGAAUCAUUGGGUUUAAAGGGUCCGUAGGCGGUUUAGUAAGUCAGUGGUGAAAGCCCAUCGCUCAACGGUGGAACGGCCAUUGAUACUGCUAGACUUGAAUUAUUAGGAAGUAACUAGAAUAUGUAGUGUAGCGGUGAAAUGCUUAGAGAUUACAUGGAAUACCAAUUGCGAAGGCAGGUUACUACUAAUGGAUUGACGCUGAUGGACGAAAGCGUGGGUAGCGAACAGGAUUAGAUACCCCGGU
rnacentral:rRNA from 1 species